rnacentral:rRNA from 1 species
UACGUAGGGUCCGAGCGUUGUCCGGAAUUACUGGGCGUAAAGAGCUCGUAGGUGGUUUGUCGCGUUGUUCGUGAAAACUCACAGCUCAACUGUGGGCGUGCGGGCGAUACGGGCAGACUAGAGUACUGCAGGGGAGACUGGAAUUCCUGGUGUAGCGGUGAAAUGCGCAGAUAUCGGGAGGAACACCGGUGGCGAAGGCGGUUCUCUGGGCAUUACCUGACGCUGAGGAGCGAAAGUGUGGGGAGCGAACAGG